UGGGGAAUUUUGGACAAUGGGCGAAAGCCUGAUCCAGCAAUGCCGCGUGAGUGAAGAAGGCCUUCGGGUUGUAAAGCUCUUUUGUCAGGGAAGAAACGGUGCGGGCUAAUAUCCUGCACUAAUGACGGUACCUGAAGAAUAAGCACCGGCUAACUACGUGCCAGCAGCCGCGGUAAUACGUAGGGUGCAAGCGUUAAUCGGAAUUACUGGGCGUAAAGCGUGCGCAGGCGGUUUUGUAAGUCUGUCGUGAAAGCCCCGGGCUCAACCUGGGAAUUGCGAUGGAGACUGCAAGGCUUGAAUCUGGCAGAGGGGGGUAGAAUUCCACGUGUAGCAGUGAAAUGCGUAGAGAUGUGGAGGAACACCGAUGGCGAAGGCAGCCCCCUGGGUCAAGAUUGACGCUCAUGCACGAAAGCGUGGGGAGCAAACA
rnacentral:rRNA from 1 species